CCCUCUGAUAAAAGCUGUCCGGUCCCUCCACAGCUAGAAUAAUGACAGUGAGCAGAUAGCUGGGAACAUGACACUGCAGAUAUCACCACUAACAACCUGACAGACUGCACAGACCUCUCCUUGCCAAGAGAUUGAAUGUAGCUCACCUACUCCGUGAGGUGGAUGUGGGGAGUCCAGCAGAAGAGGCUGGUAUGCAGGAUGGAGACUUGCUGCUGGCGGUCAAUUGGCAUCCUUCGGAGUCCAUGGCGCGUGAGAAUAUUGUCAGGAAAGUGAGGAAGAGUGGCAAGCGGGUUAGCCUCACCACCAUACCAUACAUGGAAGAGACUUCUACACGCAGUUGGGUCUAUCUCCCCUGCUAUUCCAUGAGGACAGUCUGCCAAAAGGAGAGGGGAUGAGGAAGACACAGUCCCCUUGCACUGAGAAGCAGGAUGGGCUGAGUAAAAAUGAGCACGGUUUUACUUCCCUGUCCAAGACUCUGUGUCCUCGAGAGAGAGAAGAAUCAGGCUUUGGGUUUAAUCUGGGUUGCGUUCAACAUGAGCCAGGGACUUUCAUAGGGCAGGGAUUCCUUUGAACAUCAACAACAUAACAACACAACACCAUGGUCAUCUAGCUCUCUCUCAUCUAUUUGUUGUCAUCUCUAUCAUUAUGUUUCCUGACAUAAAUAGGCCAUUUGAAAAAUUCCCAAUCAAAGUUGUAGUAAUGAGGAACAGCUUUCAUCAAUCAAAAGUUCCCGAUAUUGAUCUGCUGUGUUUUCCACAAGCAUUGUUAUAAUGACCGAGGGUAGGUGUUAAGAUGUUUCCUAUGAGAAAUGAGUGGCACGUGUAAAAGUAUAACUUUAGACCGUCCCCUCGCCCAUACCCGGGCGCAAACCAGAGACCAUUUGCACACAUCAACCACGAAGCAUCGUUACCCAUCGCUCCACAAAAGCCUUGGCCCUUGCAGAGCAAGGGGAACCACUACUUCAAGGUCUCAGAGCAAGUGACGUCACCGAUUGAAAUGCUAUUUAGCGCGCACCACCGCUAACUAAGCUAGCCGUUUCACAUCCGUUACACACGGUUAUGACUGCAGUUUUCUUUUGUCCUGCAGGUGGUGGUAAAGGGCUUAGGACAUAGGGCUGGACUGUGGGAAGGGGAUGUCGUUGUGGAGGUGAAUGGCCAGAAUGUGGAGAAUGAGUACCUUGAGGACGUUGUGACGCUGAUAAAGAAGAGCGUGACGUCUUUGAAAUUACUGGUUGCGGAGAGGAAUGCUGAGAAGUGACCAAAGUCAUUAUGAAGACAACAUCUCACCUAACAGAGGAGGACCUGGCACUAGCACAGCAUCAACAACAACAUAGCUGCAAUCAUUAAUUCAUGUGCCAGUGAUAACACUGCAAAACAAUGCAGGAUGAAAUAAAUGAAGCUGUUCCCUCUACUUCUGAAUGCAACCUGAAAGAGAAGGGCUGAAUUAGAUGCCAAUAUUUUAACCAGACCCAUGAGGGCUCUGGUCAAAAGUAUUGUACUACGUAGGGGAAAGGGUGCCAUUUGGGGCAUAGCCAUGGUGAGUCUGCUUCCAUCUGAAACAUGUCAGAGGAUUUAAUCCCUUCUCUACACAUCUCCCAUCUUCUUUUUGAGGACUAUUACCGACAGAGCUAUGCUAAGGACCUGCUUCUUGCGACAUAGGAUUUGCAGAGUAGAUUGCACACUGUUUAAAUUAUUGAUAUCACUUGUGUGUGAGAAAGGGAUAAUGAAGUUUAGGUUUAUUCUAAGGUGAAAUCAAGAUAAACUAAAUAAGAUGGGGAAAAACAAUAGUGGGGCUCAGUUGAGAAUCUAUGAUCAUUAUUGUACGUGAUGAUUCAAGGUGUACAAAGUGUAAAGAUCUAUUAUUAAGUACUUGAUAAGCCAUACAAUUGCAUAAAACUAGCUCAAUGUACAGUACACUACAUGACCAAAAGUAUGUGGACACCACUUCAAAUGAGUGGAUUCGUAUAUUUCAGCGACACCCGAUGCUGACAGGUGUAUACAAUCGAGCACACCGCCAUGCAAUCGCCAUAGACAAACAUUGGCAGUAGAAUGGCCCAUACUGAAGAGUUCAGUGACUUUUAAUGUGGCACUGUCAUAGGAUGCCACCUUUCCAAGAAGUCAGUUCGUAACAUUUCUGCCCAGCAAUGUCACAUCUAGUGAAAAGCCUUCCCAGAAGAGUGGAGGCUUUUAUAGCAGCAAAGGGGGGGGACCAACUCCAUAUUAAUGCCCAUGAUUUUGGAAUGAGAUGUUUGAUGAACAGGUGUCCAUAUACUUUUAGUCAUGUAGCGUAUAUAAGAAAAUUAACAUGAUUAAGAGAAACAUAUUCAUGAAAACAUUUCACUUUGAACAACUACACCAUCUAGUGACCGUUUAAAAGUCUGACUAACAAUGGAAAUGUGCCUUUUUUGUAGCGUUCAGUGUUACAUUGAACAUACUGUACAUAUUGCACUGUAUACAACUUCUGCUAUUAUACUGGCCUGCUAUUUCUGCUAUUCAAUGCAUAGAGCUGGCCAUGCUAUUUAAGUGAGUUGUUGAUGAACAUAAAUGAAGGUCAGUUGUAAUGUGGUAAAGGCAAAAUAAUGACACAUGGAAACAGAAAUAAUGUCAAUGCUAGUUUUUAUUUGAAGCUACUUUGAAAUACCUAUUUUCCAGAGGGAAGGGAAAAAAACAACACAGAAACUAAUUUAAGCCGAUGUUGGAGAAACUGAAAAAGGAACUACCCUGAUCGUGUUUAAAACAAUCGGGCAAGCUCCUGGAAAUACAUAUAUCACUAACAAUAACUCAACUAGUUACACUGAAAUGUUUUUAAAAAACGAUUUAAAGACAAACCUACAAUAAUCAGACUUAUGAACUAGUACUUUCGUGGUAUCCAAUUGGUAGUUACAGUCUUGUCUCAUCGCUGUAACUCCCGUAC